AUUGAACGCUGGCGGCAGGCCUAACACAUGCAAGUCGAGCGGAUGAGUGGAGCUUGCUCCAUGAUUCAGCGGCGGACGGGUGAGUAAUGCCUAGGAAUCUGCCUGGUAGUGGGGGACAACGUUUCGAAUGGAACGCUAAUACCGCAUACGUCCUACGGGAGAAAGUGGGGGAUCUUCGGACCUUACGCUAUCAGAUGAGCCUAGGUCGGAUUAGCUAGUUGGUGAGGUAAAGGCUCACCAAGGCGACGAUCCGUAACUGGUCUGAGAGGAUGAUCAGUCACACUGGAACUGAGACACGGUCCAGACUCCUACGGGAGGCAGCAGUGGGGAAUAUUGGACAAUGGGCGAAAGCCUGAUCCAGCCAUGCCGCGUGUGUGAAGAAGGUCUUCGGAUUGUAAAGCACUUUAAGUUGGGAGGAAGGGCAGUAAGUUAAUACCUUGCUGUUUUGACGUUACCAACAGAAUAAGCACCGGCUAACUUCGUGCCAGCAGCCGCCGCCGUAA
rnacentral:rRNA from 1 species